rnacentral:lncRNA from 1 species
GGGGGAACCGGCCGAACCAUCAGCCCGACGGGACGGGAGGGAGCACCCUCGGGGCGGGAAGACGAGCCCCCGGCGGCGCGUGACAGGGCGAAGCGAGGAGUGAGCUGACACUAAACUGAGCUAACCAGGCCCAUUCCUGCACAGUUGAUCUUGAGGUGCCAGGCCUUCCUGAUGAGAUGUGUCCUGCCCCAGAGGGCUCCGGG